rnacentral:rRNA from 1 species
GCAUCGACCAGAGGGAAAAGGAGCAAUCCGCUUUGAGAUGGCCUCGCGUCCGAUUAGCUAGUUGGUGAGGUAAUGGCCCACCAAGGCAACGAUCGGUAGCCGGACUGAGAGGUUGAACGGCCACAUUGGGACUGAGACACGGCCCAGACUCCUACGGGAGGCAGCAGUGGGGAAUAUUGCACAAUGGGGGAAACCCUGAUGCAGCGACGCCGCGUGGAGGAAGAAGGUCUUCGGAUUGUAAACUCCUGUUGUUGAGGAAGAUAAUGACGGUACUCAACAAGGAAGUGACGGCUAACUACGUGCCAGCAGCCGCGGUAAAACGUAGGUCACAAGCGUUGUCCGGAAUUACUGGGUGUAAAGGGAGCGCAGGCGGGAAGACAAGUUGGAAGUGAAAUCCAUGGGCUCAACCCAUGAACUGCUUUCAAAACUGUUUUUCUUGAGUAGUGCAGAGGUAGGCGGAAUUCCCGGUGUAGCGGUGGAAUGCGUAGAUAUCGGGAGGAACACCAGUGGCGAAGGCGGCCUACUGGGCACCAACUGACGCUGAGGCUCGAAAGUGUGGGUAGCAAACAGGAUUAGAUACCCUGGUAGUCCACACCGUAAACGAUGAUUACUAGGUGUUGGAGGAUUGACCCCUUCAGUGCCG